GCCUGACUUCUUAUAAGGAGUUAAGGUCCAUAAUCGGGCUUCGGGAACCGACACUACAAAUCGUUCCGAUACUGGCGUUGAGGGGGUCGCACAUGAACUGGACCAGGUUCAAUCAGAUGACGUCCGUCAUGGGGGGCGGCGUUGGUUGAGCCUUGCACAGUAGUCCAGCGGUAAGGGUGUAGAUCAGGCUCGUCUGUUUCUCCCCCAGAGCUCGCUCCCUUGGCUUCCCUUAUUUUUAACAUCAGAAACAGACAUUAAACAUCUACUGAUCCAAUUUCGCCGGCGUACGGCCACGAUCGGGAGGGUGGGAAUCUCGGGGGUCUUCCGAUCCUAAUCCAUGAUGAUUACGACCUCAGUCACUAAAGACGAUGGCAUGAUGAUCCGGCGAUGAAAAUAGCCAAAUGCCUCGUCAUCUAAUUAGUGACGCGCAUGAAUGGAUUAACGAGAUUCCCACUGUCCCUAUCUA
rnacentral:ncRNA from 1 species